rnacentral:rRNA from 1 species
UACGGGGGGAGCAAGCGUUGUUCGGAUUUACUGGGCGUAAAGGGCGCGUAGGCGGCGCAACAAGUCACUUGUGAAAUCUCCGGGCUUAACCCGGAGCGGCCAAGUGAUACUGUCGUGCUAGGGUGCGGAAGGGGCUACUGGAAUUCUCGGUGUAGCGGUGAAAUGCGUAGAUAUCGAGAGGAACACCUGCGGCGAAGGCGGGUAGCUGGGCCGACACUGACGCUGAAGCGCGAAAGCCAGGGGAGCGAACGGG